UGGAGAACAGGAGAGAAAACAGGAGGCCCUCUUCGAAAUGCGGCAAUUGAAACAGGGUAUGGGGAUGUGAAUGCCUGGAUAGAAUGGGUCAAAUAUGCUGUCCAGAGUCUCAACCAUAGCAAUUGCUAUGCUUGUGCCUUGGGAUGACCGACUGCCCAGAUAGUGCCCUUCCCAUUGGGGUGGACCAAGGGUUCCCAGGGGAUGCAAUGUAUGAUUGCAUUAUACCAAGAAAAGACUGCCUGGGGAAAUGAGGCCUGUAAGCCUCUCUCUUUGCUGUUCCCUUCCUUGCGUGAUA